rnacentral:rRNA from 1 species
GGGCCCGCACAAGCGGUGGAGCAUGUGGUUUAAUUCGAUGCAACGCGAAGAACCUUACCAGGUCUUGACAUGUCACUUUUUUCUUGAAAAAGAAAGUUCCCGAGUGAACACAGGUGGUGCAUGGCUGUCGUCAGCUCGUGUCUUGAGAUGUUGGGUUAAGUCCCGCAACGAGCGCAACCCUUAUUCUGUGUUGCUAUUUAUAGGAAACUCAGAAGACUGCCGGUGAUAAGCCGGAGGAAGGUGAGGAUGACGUCAAGUCAGCAUGCCCCUUACGACCUGGGCCACACACGUGCUACAAUGGCCGGGACAAAGAGAUGCAAUCUCGCGAGAGCAAGCUAACCUCAAAAAACCCGGUCUUAGUUCGGAUUGUAGGCUGCAACUCGCCUACGUGAAGGCGGAAUCGCUAGUAAUCGCAGGUC